rnacentral:rRNA from 1 species
GCUUGUCUCAAAGAUUAAGCCAUGCAUGUUUAAACAUAAGUAUCAUAAAGCGAAGUUGCGAAUGGCUCAUUAUAUCAGUUAUAAUAUACUAGAUAGUUUCUCUACUUGGAUAACCGUAGUAAUUCUAGAGCUAAUACAUGCAGGAAGACCCGACUCACGAAGGGUUGUAUUUAUUAGAUAAGAAACCUUCCCCUUUGGGUUGCGUGCCGAGUCACAAUAACUGCUCGAAUCGCAUGGCUUCACGCCGGCGAUGGUUCAUUCAAAUUUCUGCCCUAUCAGCUUUCGAUGGUAGGAUCGAGGCCUACCAUGGCGUUUACGGGUAACGGAGAAUUAGGGUUCGAUUCCGGAGAGGGAGCCUGAGAGAUGGCUACCACAUCCAAGGAAGGCAGCAGG